CCUACGGGUGGCAGCAGUGAGGAAUAUUGGUCAAUGGGCGGAAGCCUGAACCAGCCAAGUAGCGUGCAGGAUGACGGCCCUACGGGUUGUAAACUGCUUUUAUACGGGAAUAACGCGCCUUACGUGUAGGGCUUUGCAUGUACCGUAUGAAUAAGGACCGGCUAAUUCCGUGCCAGCAGCCGCGGUAAUACGGAAGUUGCGGGCGUUAUCCGGAUUUGUUGGGUUUAAAGGGGGCGUAGCCCGCAGGUAAAGCGUGUGGUGAAAUGCCCGGGAUCAACCCGGGCCUUGUAGCGCGAACUGGGGGUCUGGAGCCCGGGGAAGGCAGGGGGAUUU
rnacentral:rRNA from 1 species